CUCGGCCCUCUCUGUUGCUCAGCCCAGAAGCCUGCCGAGAGCGGGCCGAGCUGCACGCGUCCCCCGGCCCGACGACUUCCUCCUCCUCCUCUCCGUCUCCGGUCCGGCGGUUCUCCCCUCGCUCCCAAGUUGCCCGGCGGGUCGUCGGAGGGUUCGACGCCCAGAGCCUCAGAGGCGGCGCCGCCUCCCCUUCUCUCCCGCGCGACCCGCGCCUCUCGCCCGGUGCUCCUACUCGAGGGGUGGCGAAGGCUGGUGAACCCCUGCGGCCAUCUCUGUUUCGUUCGGUUCGAUUUCCCGUGCUUGUGUAAUGCGUGGGGUUAAUAGAUUUGCUGGGUUAAUUUGUCUACCCCGGAUCUGGGGAGUUCCAGGCUCGACGAGGUCCGAGAAAACAUCGACCAGGGGACAGACUUGGCUGAUGAGCAACAGAUGGAUGCCAUUUGGGAGCACUUCAGCGAGGCUCAGCGGAAUAUCCUCUACCUUCACAAACAUUGGCUUGUGGCCAUGGAAGAGCUGAAAUAUUUGCUAGAUGGAAAUAAAUCACUUCUUCAGGAAAUGGAGGUACUUGAGAUGGAAAGGCAAGGUGCAGCGAAAACAUUUCUUGCUACCAGAAAUUAGUAGGAACCAGAAUGUAUAUCCUAGAAAGGGAAUCCGAAUGUGAAAUUCCAUGGUCUUUAGCAGUUCAAUGCUGCUUUGUAUUGCUAUCUUUAGAUGGGAAAGUAAAACACAUCUAUAAAAUUGUAAGCCAUGAGUACAGAUAUUCCAAGUGAUGGAUCCAGAAAAAAUACCAAGGCGUGAAGAGUACAAAAGAACUAGGCUACAACAGAAACUCAUACUAUGGAUCAACGCAUCUGCCCGUCAUCACUACCACAAUACAGCUAUGUCCGAGUACAUCAUCUCUACGUAUGGAACCAUGUCUCUUUCUCAAGGUCUCGAUGGCAUUGGACGUUUUGAACCAUCAGCAUACACCAAGUUUGCAAUUACUCAGUCGGAAAGCAAAAUCUCUCUCUCUGAAAGAAUGACCCCGGUUAGAUUUGCAGAUCAUGGAUGCACUGACAAACAGUUUAUCAGGGGACACGAAGUGCUAUGACAUACAUUGGGAAACUUAUUCCUUUAUAAGGAAGCUCUGACAUCAGGAAGUUCAUGAGACACCACCCCUCCAAAUGAGAAGCAAGCUCUGUUCCUCCUCUGGAGUGGCAUCUGUUUGAGCCCACGGGUGGUGGUGGUAUCUCCUCAGCAUCUCCAAUCUCUCUGCAACCUCCUUCAUCGUUGGCCGCUCCUCCCCACUCAUGUUCAAGCAUCUCAUAACAAGCAUAAAACAAGGCUUCUAUCUUCCUCCGGCCCGUCGAAGUACAGUGCCUUCUUCCUUGUCAGAAGCUCCAAUAAGACGACACCGAAGCUGUACACAUCACUCUUAUCAGUCAGCCGGCAUGUCAUUAGGUAUUCUGGGUCAAGUGGCGAACCUUUCUGCCUGCCAACCGGAGGCGAAGCAGUCUAGCUUUUAAUGGAGCGUUGGUGGCCAAGCUCCCUUCUCUGGUAGAUCAAAGCUGCACGGAUCAACUGGUGGGGGCUAUCUUAAUCUAUAGGCAUUCUCUGGUUGCUAUUCGAGCAAAUCGUGCAUCGUGCACACAGGCUCGAUAAUGGUUGCAGAUUCGUAGGAAUACUGAACAUGGGCCCCUACCCGUCAGUGAGCAGAAAUAUUUCUGUCCCUAUGAAUGUCUUAUCCUGUCAAGGGUGCACACAGGCUCAACGAUGGUCGCAGGCAGCGUUCGGAGGAAGGGGCGGGAUCUUGAAACCCGGCACAGGCGCGACGAACUUGCCUUCCUCCCUGCUGGCGUCCGGGCGGCUUUCCUCGCCUGAUACAAUGGGAGUAAAAGAACAACAACAUGAGGACACGCUAUUCUACACAAGUAAAUUAUGAACGCAAUGGUGCAGUCAGAGUCUCGUACCUUGUUGCACCCAGGAAAUGGUGCGGCGGCGGGCGGCAGAAGCAGCAGUGUCUGAUGGCUGCAUGCCACUAGGUGGCCCUCCCUUCAUGCCUUGCAUCCAGCCGAGCCUCCGGCGGGUGUGCCGUCGGAGCGGCACGGCCUGGCCAUGGGCGAGAUCGCCGGCCACAAGGACGAGCAGAACCAGAGCCAUGAGCGCUGUUUUGGAUGCCAUUCUUGUUGCCGCCUCUGCUCCUCUUUUGCUAGCUGCUUGGCGAUCUACCCCAAACACCAGUAGACAGUAGUCUGCACUGCAUGCACAAGAUACAUAUGUAGCACAAGUGUGGAUGAGUGGGUCGAUGCAUGACUUGUAGGGUAGGCGUUUGAUGAGACGGUGAACGCGUAGCAAAUGCAUGUAGGAAUCGGUAUCUUGUAGCCCCGCAAAGGGAGGUUUCCGUUACAUCGUGCACGUUUGUCAGCCCCAACAGACGCAAACAAAUUCGGACCAUGCAGCUGCUUCUACACC